ACGUGAGUAACCUGCCCUUGACUCUGGGAUAAGCCUGGGAAACUGGGUCUAAUACCGGAUAUGACCAUCUGACGCAUGUCAUGGUGGUGGAAAGCUUUUGUGGUUUUGGAUGGACUCGCGGCCUAUCAGCUUGUUGGUGGGGUAAUGGCCUACCAAGGCGACGACGGGUAGCCGGCCUGAGAGGGUGACCGGCCACACUGGGACUGAGACACGGCCCAGACUCCUACGGGAGGCAGCAGUGGGGAAUAUUGCACAAUGGGCGGAAGCCUGAUGCAGCGACGCCGCGUGAGGGAUGACGGCCUUCGGGUUGUAAACCUCUUUCAGUAGGGAAGAAGCGAAAGUGACGGUACCUGCAGAAGAAGCGCCGGCUAACUACGUGCCAGCAGCCGCGGUAAUACGUAGGGCGCAAGCGUUAUCCGGAAUUAUUGGGCGUAAAGAGCUCGUAGGCGGUUUGUCGCGUCUGCUGUGAAAGACCGGGGCUCAACUCCGGUUCUGCAGUGGGUACGGGCAGACUAGAGUGCAGUAGGGGAGACUGGAAUUCCUGGUGUAGCGGUGAAAUGCGCAGAUAUCAGGAGGAACACCGAUGGCGAAGGCAGGUCUCUGGGCUGUAACUGACGCUGAGGAGCGAAAGCAUGGGGAGCGAACAGGAUUAGAUACCCUGGUAGUCCAUGCCGUAAACGUUGGGCACUAGGUGUGGGGGACAUUCCACGUUUUCCGCGCCGUAGCUAACGCAUUAAGUGCCCCGCCUGGGGAGUACGGCCGCAAGGCUAAAACUCAAAGGAAUUGACGGGGGCCCGCACAAGCGGCGGAGCAUGCGGAUUAAUUCGAUGCAACGCGAAGAACCUUACCAAGGCUUGACAUGAACCGGAAAGACCUGGAAACAGGUGCCCCGCUUGCGGUCGGUUUACAGGUGGUGCAUGGUUGUCGUCAGCUCGUGUCGUGAGAUGUUGGGUUAAGUCCCGCAACGAGCGCAACCCUCGUUCUAUGUUGCCAGCGCGUUAUGGCGGGGACUCAUAGGAGACUGCCGGGGUCAACUCGGAGGAAGGUGGGGACGACGUCAAAUCAUCAUGCCCCUUAUGUCUUGGGCUUCACGCAUGCUACAAUGGCCGGUACAAAGGGUUGCGAUACUGUGAGGUGGAGCUAAUCCCAAAAAGCCGGUCUCAGUUCGGAUUGGGGUCUGCAACUCGACCCCAUGAAGUCGGAGUCGCUAGUAAUCGCAGAUCAGCAA
rnacentral:rRNA from 1 species